rnacentral:rRNA from 1 species
GCGCACCAGGCGCGAAUCCUUCGCAAUGCGGGAAACCGCGACGAGGGACUCCCAGUGCCUACGCUCAGCGUAGGCUGUUCCCGAGCCUAGAAAGCUCGGGAGUAAGGGCUGGGUAAGACGGGUGCCAGCCGCCGCGGUAAUACCCGCAGCCCGAGUGGUGGCCACUAUUAUUGGGCCUAAAGCGUCCGUAGCCGGCCCGGUAAAUGCCUGGGUAAAUCGUGAGGCCUAACCUCACGAAUUCCGGGUAGACUGCCGGGCUAGGGACCGGAGGAGGGAGAGGGUACUCCAGGGGUAGGGGUGAAAUCCUGUAAUCCCUGGAGGACCACCGGUGGCGAAGGCGCUCUCCUAGGACGGGUCCGACGGUGAGGGACGAAAGCCAGGGGAGCGAACCGGAUUAGAUACCCCCGUAGU